rnacentral:piRNA from 1 species
UGAGGAAAAGGUGGCCCAUCUGGAUGGAUA